rnacentral:lncRNA from 1 species
CAUCCACCUAGCUGCUCAGGUGAAAAUCUCAAAUCCUCCUCCAGUCCUUCCUCCCCAAACCUCUCACGCAGCCCUCUGCCUUCCUAGGACGCUGAGCACCCCUCACUCCCAGUGCCAGCUGGGGUGCUGUCUGAGUGGCUGCCUCCCACUUGGCAUGAAGUGUGACCUCUUGCCCAGCACAGUGACUCACACCUGUAAUCCCAGCACUUUGGGAGGCCAAGGGGGGCAGAUCGCUUGAGGCCAGAAGUGUGGGACCAGCCUGGCCAAUAUGGUGAAACUAAAAUACAACAAUUAGCCAGGCAUGGUAAUGCGUGCCUAUAAUCCCAGCUACCCAGGAGGCUGAGGCAGGAAAAUUGCUUGAACCUGGGAGGCGGAGGUUGCAGUGAGCCAAAGUCACGCCACUGCACUCCAGCCUGGGCAAUAGAGCGAGACUCUGUCGCAAGUUAAAAAAAAAAAAAAAAGAAGUGUGACCUCUCUAAGGCAAGGCAGUGUCCCACUCUGAUUCACUUCUGUGUGCAAAACAGGACCUGCACCCUGAAGGCACUCACUCAGGGAUGCUGCUGGGAUGGGUGGAUGCACAGAGCCUCUGGCAAAAGCAAUGGAUGUCACUGUCACAGUGCAUCACCUUUGCACACUAGAGAGAGAGGUUCCACCUGCAGGCCCUGCAGGAGGGAGAUGCGGUGCUGAGAAAGGACCUUUGGAGGGGCCCCGUAGGCAAGGAAGCAAAAAGCUGGGCCCUUGCCAAGCAGGUCCAAGGAAAUGAAUUCUGCCAAUAACCUCAGUGGACCUGGAAAUGGAUUCUGCCCUGGUUGAGCCUCAGAUGAGGAUGCAGCCCAGCUCCUUAGCUUGAGACCCUAAGCAGAGGACCUGCUAAAAUGUGCUCAACUCCUAGCUUGCCAAAACUGGGUUAAAUGUGUGUGUUGUUUUAAGCUUCUAAGUUUUUAGUUAUUGCCUAUGAAAGUGUUAAAAUAUAAGACAAUAACGUAGGUCCCCUCCCCAUCACACACUUUCUUCUUUCUGGCAUUCGUCACAACUAUACUUGUUGAUUUAAAAUCUGCCUCUUGGCUGGGUGUGGUGGCUCAGGAGUUCCAGACCAGCCUGGCCAACAUGUUGAAACCCCAUCUCCACUAAAAAUACAAAAAUUAGCUAGGCAUGGUGGUGCAUGCCUGUAAUCCCAGCUACUCGGGAGGCCGAGGCAGGAGAAUUACUUGAACCCAGGAGGCAGACGUUGCAGUGAGCCGAGAUUGCACCAUUGCACUCCAGCCUGAGUAACAAGAACAAAACUUUGUCUCCAAAAAAAAAAAACAAAUUGUCUUUUGCAUGAUGGCCCCGUGAGAAGAAAAAUGGAAACUCUUACUCAUAACAGUGCCCCAAAUGCCCAGCACGGUGAAGUUCUAGGGCAGUUGGUCGAUGGUGGACGCUGCUGGUUAGAGGGCCCAAUUGGCCCUGCCAGCUGCCUUCUCCCUGGUCACGUUCCAUUAUAGAGAACAGAAUAGUUUCUUGCCUUUCCAGAGUCCCUCUUAGUGGGGAUUGGCCAAGCAACAUUGUCCUGCCCAGGGAGACAUAAGUGGAAGUUGGCUGAGAGGUUUCUAGCCAUGGUGUGCUGGGGCAGUUUGAAUCAGAACAUGAGAGCUGACCGUCCAUUGCUCGGGAAUUCUGCAAGUUGGUGUUCAACGCAUUCAGUACUUAAAAAUAUUAAAUAAUAUAAACUUGCAAAUUAAAAAAUGCAUUAGACCGGGUGUAGUAGUCCACAUCUGUAAUCCCAACACAUUGGAAGGCUGAGGCAGGAAGAUCACUUGAGCCCAGGAGUUCAAGACCAGCCUAGGCAAAAAAGGAAGACCCUGUCUCUACAAAAAAUUUUAAAAUUAGCUAGGCAUGGUGGUAUGUGCGUGCAAUCCUAGCCGCUCAGGAGGCUGAGGUGGGAGGAUCGCUUGAGCCAUCUGUUCAAGGCUCCAAUGAGCUAUGAUAGUGCCACUGCACUUCAGCCUGGGUGACAGAGCGAGACCCUGUCUCAGAAAUAAAUAAACAUAUUUUAUAUAUUAAUAUAUACAUUUAUGUAUAUAAUUAUAUAUUUAUACAUAAAUAUAUUUAUUUAUUUAUUUAUUUAUUUUGAGAUGGAGUUUCACUCUUGUUGCCCAGGCUGGAGUGCAAUGACACGAUCUGGGCUCACCGCGACCUCCACCUCCCAGGUUCAAGUGAUUUUCCUGCCUCAGUCUCUUGAGUAGCUGGGAUUACAGGCAUGCACCACCACACCUGGCUAAUUUUGUAUUUUUAGUAGAGACGGGGUUUCUCCAUGUUGGUCAGGCUGGUCUCAAGCGCCCAACCUCAGGUGAUCUGCCCACCUUGGCCUCCCAAACUGCUGGGAUUACAGGUGUAAGCCACCGCGCCUAGCCUAUAUUAGAUAUUUAUAUAAUUAUAUAUAUAAAUUUUAUAUAAUUGUAUGUAAAUAUAAAUAUAAAACAAAGAUAAUCCUCAAAAUGCAUUAUUUCCUGGUUAUUUUACUCUUACUAUGUUCUUGAAGAUUUGCAUCUUCCGCGUCAGUAGGUGGAAAACCUAAAUCAUGGUGUGCUGCUGACUUCUCUCUCCAACGCCGUAGUCAGCAAUGUCAUGGUGGCAGCUUGAAAUCAGACAUAGUAGAACUUAUACAGAAGUUGGCAACUGUUAAAAAUCAGGACCUUCCCUCUCCCUCCUCUCCCCCAAAAUACCAGCACACCCCUGAUUUUGAGGGAAGUUUUUGCUCUCUUGGAAAAGGAAAAGACACAUCAG